GGUGCCAUAGCGUAGUGGUAAACAGCUCGCUUCACAAACGAGUGGUCGGUGGUUCGACUCCACCUGGUGCCU
rnacentral:tRNA from 1 species